rnacentral:rRNA from 1 species
GACGAACGCUGGCGGCGUGCCUAAUACAUGCAAGUCGAACGCAGUGGGGACGGGUGAGUAACACGUUGGUAACCUCCCAUCAGAGGGGAUAACACUUGGAAACAGGUGCUAAACCGAUACUGAUGGAUGGACCCGCGGUGCAUUAGCUAGUUGGUGAGGUAACGGCUCACCAAGACCACGAUGCAUAGCCGACUGGGGAGGGUGAUGGGCCACAGUGGAACGGAAACACGGCCCGGACUCUGACGGAAGGAAGCAGUAGGGAAUGUUCGGAAAGGGAUGAAAGUCUGACCGAGAAAAGCGGCGUGAUUGAAGAAGGUUUUCGGAUCGAAAACCUCUGUUGUUAGAGAAGCGGUAUCUAACCAGAAAGCCACGGCUAACUACGUGCCAGCAGCCGCGGUAAUAC